rnacentral:rRNA from 1 species
UACAGAGGUCCCAAGCGUUGUUCGGAUUCAUUGGGCGUAAAGGGUGCGUAGGUGGCGUGGUAAGUCGGGUGUGAAAUCCCUCGGCUCAACCGAGGAACUGCACUCGAUACUGGUCGGCUAGAGUCCGGGAGGGGAUGGUGGAAUUCCCAGUGUAGCGGUGAAAUGCGUAGAUAUUGGGAAGAACACCGGUGGCGAAGGCGGAUCUCUGGGCCUUACCUGACGCUCAGGCGCGAAAGCUAGGGGAGCAAACAGG